rnacentral:rRNA from 1 species
GCACUGAAUCCCAAAGGCCCCGCCUUUAGGGAAAUGUAGUGUUUAGGAGUGCCCGAUCAACCCGGGGUCCGUGCACCGCGUUCAAGUCCAUCUUGAACGGGGCCACGGUCCGUAGAGGGUGCCAGGCCCGUAGAUGACCGGUGCCGGCCUCGGGUGGGCACCUCCUCAGAGUCGGGCUGCUUGAGAGUGCAGCCCUAAGUGGGUGGUAAACUCCAUCUAAGGCUAAAUACAACCACGAGACCGAUAGAGAACAAGUACCGUGAGGGAAAGUUGAAAAGAACUUUGAAGAGAGAGUUCAAGAGUACGUGAAACCGCUCAGGGGUAAACGGAAAAGACCCGAAGCCCCGAAACGGGAGAUUCACGUCUUCUCGCCGGGUCCGCUCCCCGCUGUGGGGGAUGGCCUUUCGCCCCGUCCGGCUCGUCCGUGGCGGCGGGUGGGCCGCCCCCCUCGGGGUACCGUUCCCGCGGGGGACCGCACUUCUCCCUUAGUAGGACGUCGCGACCCGCUCAGCGGCGGUCUAACGUCCGGAAGAUGGUCUGGCUCGGGGCUCCACCGCCCGCGGUGUGGGUCUCGUGUCAGCUCUCCGGUACCGCGGCCGUCGGUCCGGGCGGUAUCGAAAGACUUGGGCGCUGGGCCGCUCCAUACGCGAGCGCCGCUGUCUCCCCGCCAGACCGGGCGUUUACCCGGGGGUGCCUUAACGCGCACGCCCGGGCUUGGCGCUCGGGCCCCUGUCGGGAGAGCUCUCCGGCAUGGCCCAGUCCGCCAGUCGGCGGCGCUUCAGAUUCGGGAACUUAUCCGACCCGUCUUGAAACACGGACCAAGGAGUCUACCGUGUGCGCAAGUCAUUGGGUGUAAAACCUAAAGGCGAAAUGAAAGUGUCUUGGUGGGCCUCAAGGGCUCACCGGAGGGAGGAUGGGCACCCGUACGGCUUGCUCGUCGGGGCCCCGCACUCCCGGGGCGUCUCGUUCUCAUGACGAGUAGAGACGCACCAGGAGCGCACACGAUGGUACCCGAAAGAUGGUGAACUAUGCCUGGCCAGGACGAAGCCAGGGGAAACCCUGGUGGAGGUCCGAAGCGAUUCUGACGUGCAAAUCGAUCGUCUGAGCUGGGUAUAGGGGCGAAAGACCAAUCGAACCAUCUAGUAGCUGGUUCCCUCUGAAGUUUCCCUCAGGAUAGCUGGCUCUCGGGUUGAGACGAGUCUCAUCCGGUAGAGCGAAUGAUUAGAGGUGAUGGGGUCGAAACGACUUCAACCUAUUCUCAAACUCCCAAUAGAUGAGAGCCCCGGCUUGCUUAAAAGUGAAGCCGCGGGACUCGGAUCAGAGAUGCCAAGUGGGCCAAUUUUGGUAAGCAGAACUGGCGCUGUGGGAUGAACCAAACGCAGAGUUAAGGCGCCUGAUUCGACGCUCACGUGAAACCAUGAAAGGCGUUGGUUGCUUAAGACAGCAGGACGGUGGCCAUGGAAGUCGGAAUCCGCUAAGGAGUGUGUAACAACUCACCUGCCGAAGCAACUAGCCCUGAAAAUGGAUGGCGCUGUAGCGUCGUGCCUAUACUCUGCCGUCAACGGCAGAGCGGGCCGCCCCCGAGUGGGGCAUCGCCGUUAGGCCUUGACGAGUAAGAGGGUCGCGGCGGUGUGCGCGGAAGGGUCUGGGCGUGAGCCCGCCUGGAGCCGCCGCCGGUGCAGAUCUUGGUGGUAGUAGCAAAUACUCCAGCGAGGCCCUGGAGGACUGAUGUGGAGAAGGGUUUCUUGUGAACAGCUGUUGCACAAGAGUCAGUCGAUCCUAAGCCCUAGGAUAAAUCCGAAGAGAAUGGCUGCCGUUAAUGACCGACUUGUAUAUCGGACUUGCUCCUCGGCCCCGGUGUGGGCGGGCGGUAGAGCACCCCCAACCCCCCUUCGGGUGGGCGGGGUGCCCCGCCCCUCGCACCCGGCGGUCGGGGACAUGUCCAAUUUUUUUUUUUUUUAAUAUAUAUGAACGGUGAGCAGGCACCGUUCGGGCGAAAGGGAAUCCGGUUCCUAUUCCGGAACCCGGCAGCGGAACCGCUCCAAUUCGGGCCCUCAUCCGAGGACUCGUCGGGGUGACCCGAAAUGACCCGGAGAAGCCGUAGGGAGGUCCGGGGAGAGUUGUCUCUUCUCUAUAAGCGUUCGAGUUCCCUGGAAGCCUCUAGGAGGGAGAUAGGGUUUGGAACGCGAAGAGCACCGCACUUACGGCGGUGUCCGGAUCUUCCCCUCGGACCUUGAAAAUCCGGGCGAGGGCCACGGGGAACACCGCGCCGGCUCGUACCCAUAUCCGCAGCAGGUCUCCAAGGUGAAUAGCCUCUAGUCGGUAGAAUAAUGUGGGUAAGGGAAGUCGGCAAACCCGAUCUGUAACUUAGGGAUAAGGAUUGGCUCUGAGGAUCGUGGCGCGCCGGGCUUGGUCGGGAAGUGGAGCGGCGCCAACGUGCCGGGCCUGGGCGAGGUGAAGGGCGCUCGUCGCUCGGACCCUAGCUCGGUCCCGUGCCUUG